AGUCUGAUCUCAAAAUGUCGGAAUUCGUUCGAAAUUUAUCGAGACGUCCGAACUUGUUGCUGAUGUACACACAAUUGUCGUUAUCUCGUGCCUGAAUGAUAUCCGGUACCUUCAAGUUGAUAGACAAUAUCACCGUAAUAUAAUCCUCUUUAGACUAGACGACACCUCUUUGCUUGACCGUUCUUGGAUAGAUAAACUAAGCGACUACAUGAAAGUUCCAAUAGGCGAAGAAGUUAUCAAUUUCCUAAAUUGGGCUGAUGUUGCUCUGAAGACAUCCAUUUCGUUCACAUGUAAUUAUAAUGGCGGAUUUCAUUUCAACAUAUCGGACAUUAGAAGUACAAUGACAAAGAUCGCAGGAAUAGUAGACAGUAAAACACACAGGGAUAAUGCUGUUUGAGACCUUAGUGAAGAAAAGUUAUGUGGUACCUGCGGACUAUUUUUUCACCAUUUUGGCUAUCAUUUUUGUAGCCAAACAGAUUUUUUUGGUGUUUUCUAUACUUUCAUCAAAUUUUAACGUUUUAAGUAUUUACAAUUUAAUUCAGUUACAUGCAUAUACAUGUGAACUUAACAAAUUCCUGUUGCAUUUUAUGGAAAACGUAUAAUUAUGCAGAUUAAUUAAUUUGAGGCAGAAUUAUUUCUACUAAUAUAUAUAUAGGGGUGUAGAUUAAUCCUCAUUUGCAUUAUUCAUUGUUUGUUUGAACAUACUUUUGAUAAAUUCAUUAAUUUAGAUAAAUGUAGAUUAAGUGACAUAUUUAUAUUUUGAUCAAUAUGGCAGGAGGAGUCCUAAAACCAUGGGUUAAAAACUUAUCGUACAAUUUGAUGGAAUACGAUUAAAGUACAAAGUCCUAUGGAAAUACAAAGCUCGAGUGCAAGUUUUCUAUUAAUUCUAGUGAUAUAAUGAUUAUGGUAUUUAUAUCUGUUAAUGAAUUUACAAAGUUAAAGCGGCAUUUAUGCAGAUGAGCCAAACAAUUUCAAGUGACUCAGCCUUAAAUAAAAUGUACUAAGAUUUGUAAGAAAAAUACAAAACAAAAUAAUUACAGUUUAAGUGAUAAUUUACAUGUUAGAUGCAAUGAAUGACUGAUUUUGCAGUAUUUAUAACCAUAUUUGUUCUGCUUGACUGACACAGUAAAUGUUUGUUUUGCAUAUUUUGCAAUUUAUUGAUAAUUUACAUGGAUUGAAAUUGCCAUAGUAAUGUGUAAAUAACUUUGUGUGUUCACUUUUAAAUAGUAACAGUUCUGAAAAAUAGCCUGGCUCUGGAUGUAUGCUGCUUUUACGGUUUUGUUACUUCUUAAUUGUUUGUUUAUCAUUAAAUUGCACAAUAGCCUAUUUUAUGGUGACUGUAUUAAUCGUUACACAAUCAUUUUCAAAAUUUUUAUGAAAAUUGGAAUGAAUCUUGAUGCAUGUUGCUUUAACGUUUUGUUACUACAUAUUAUUUGUUUAUCAUUUGCAAAAUAGCCAACUAUACAGUGUAAUAAUCGUUACAUAAUCAGUGCAAUUUAUUUGAUAUAUAUCUUUAUAUAAAUCACUUACUUGCUUUAUCUAAAAUAUCUUUUGAAUAAAGAUUACCUUUAAAAUGA